rnacentral:rRNA from 1 species
AUUGAACGCUGGCGGCAGGCCUAACACAUGCAAGUCGAGCGGGGUUUUCGGACCUAGCAGCGGACGGGUGAGUAAUGCGUCGGAAGCUACCCGAUAGAGGGGGAUACCAGUUGGAAACGACUGUUAAUACCGCAUAAUGUCUACGGACCAAAGUGUGGGACCUUCGGGCCACAUGCUAUCGGAUGCGCCUGCGUGGGAUUAGCUAGUUGGUGGGGUAAUGGCUCACCAAGGCGACGAUCCCUAGCUGGUUUGAGAGGAUGAUCAGCCACACUGGAACUGAGACACGGGCAAGACUCCUAAGGGAGGCAGCAGUGGGGAAUAUUGGACAAUGGGCGCAAGCCGGAUCCAGCCAUGCCGCGUGUGUGAAGAAGGCCUUCGGGUUGUAAAGCACUUUCAGUAGGGAGGAAGAGUUGAGUGUUAAUAGUACUCAGCUUUGACGUUACCUACAGAAGAAGCACCGGCUAACUCUGUGCCAGCAGCCGCAGUAAUAC